AAAAUUUCAAUUGGUUGUUUUGAAAACAGUGUUUGAACAGCUUAAAUUAUCAACUUAUACGUUAAACAUAUUGCCCCUCUAUUUUCCUUUUCAUCAUGAUCUAGAGCAAAAUAAAAAAAAUUACUUUUAUUUCUUGUUCGCAAAAGCCAAUCUUGAUUCUAGAAAUGGGUUAAAACCAUGUUUCUUCUUUUUACUUUCAGAGUUUUAAACANGAAAGAAAAGUUAUAACUAACAAAUUCAAAGCAACACUGGCAUAUCUAAGAAAUUGUGAAUAUUCUAGUAAACAGUAUACAGGUCAUUACUAGUAGUGAAUUAUGAAAUGUAAGUCACCAGUCAGUCAUUUUGAAGAAAUAAAACACAAGUAUCCAAAACAUCGAAAAUAAGGAUAAGAAGCAUAGAAGUAUAUAUGAAAGAUAUCGAGUGAGAAUAUCUAUGUGAAUUCUGUUAGUCUAACC
rnacentral:lncRNA from 1 species